CCUACGGGAGGCAGCAGUGGGGAAUCUUGGACAAUGGGCGCAAGCCUGAUCCAGCCAUGCCGCGUGAGUGAAGAAGGCCUUAGGGUCGUAAAGCUCUUUCACCGGUGAAGAUAAUGACGGUAGCCGGAGAGGAAGCCCCGGCUAACUCCGUGCCAGCAGCCGCGGUAAUACGGAGGGGGCCAGCGUUGUUCGGAAUUACUGGGCGUAAAGCGCGCGUAGGCGGGCUGUUAAGUCGGGGGUGAAAUCCCGGGGCUCAACCCCGGAACUGCCUUCGAUACUGGCAGCCUAGAGUGUGAGAGAGGUGAGUGGAAUGUCGAGUGUAGAGGUGAAAUUCGUAGAUAUUCGGAGGAACACCAGUGGCGAAGGCGGCUCGCUGGCUCGAUACCGACGCUGGGGUGCGAAAGCGUGGGGAGCAAACAGGAUUAGAUACCCUGGUAGUCCACGCCGUAAACGAUGAGAGCUAGUCGUCGGGCAGCAUGCUGUUCGGUGACGCAGUUAACGCAUUAAGCUCUCCGCCUGGGGAGUACGGUCGCAAGAUUAAAACUCAAAUGAAUUGACGG
rnacentral:rRNA from 1 species